rnacentral:rRNA from 1 species
GACGAACGCUGGCGGCACGCUUAACACAUGCAAGUCGAACGAGAGAAGAGAAGCUUGCUUUUCUGAUCUAGUGGCGGACGGGUGAGUAACACGUGAGCAAUCUGCCUUUCAGAGGGGGAUACCGAUUGGAAACGAUCGUUAAUACCGCAUAAUAUAAUUGAACCGCAUGAUUUGAUUAUCAAAGAUUUAUCGCUGAAAGAUGAGCUCGCGUCUGAUUAGCUAGUUGGUAAGGUAACGGCUUACCAAGGCGACGAUCAGUAGCCGGACUGAGAGGUUGAUCGGCCACAUUGGGACUGAGACACGGCCCAGACUCCUACGGGAGGCAGCAGUGGGGAAUAUUGCACAAUGGAGGAAACUCUGAUGCAGCGAUGCCGCGUGAGGGAAGAAGGUUUUAGGAUUGUAAACCUCUGUCUUCAGGGACGAAAAAAGACGGUACCUGAGGAGGAAGCUCCGGCUAACUACGUGCCAGCAGCCGCGGUAAUACGUAGGGAGCGAGCGUUGUCCGGAAUUACUGGGUGUAAAGGGAGCGUAGGCGGGAUCGCAAGUCAGAUGUGAAAACUAUGGGCUUAACCCAUAAACUGCAUUUGAAACUGUGGUUCUUGAGUGAAGUAGAGGUAAGCGGAAUUCCUAGUGUAGCGGUGAAAUGCGUAGAUAUUAGGAGGAACAUCAGUGGCGAAGGCGGCUUACUGG